UCGGACACGAUAUUUCACUCUCCUCCUGUUCAAAGAUGGAUCUGCAAAUCUCAGUUUUUCUUCUGUUUAUUCUCUUCACUGCAGGACACUCUCUCAGCUGUUAUAAUUGCUCGAAUCCGAUGGGUUCUUGCUCAGAUCAAAUGUUAAUAACAUGUCCCAUUGGAUCUUCUCAGUGCACGAGUUCAAGAGUAGGGACACAAUUUGGGGGCGUUAGUUCUACAGGGAACAUUAAAGAUUGUGCUGUUGCCUGUAUAAGUCAGUCCUUUAAUUUUGGCUAUGUAAGGAUGACUACUUCCUGCUGUAACACAGACCGGUGUAAUCUCCAAGAUGUUCCAGGUAUUGU